GAUCUGGGUGAUGGUUAGUGGGUAUUUUUGUCAAGCUGUUCACUUAAGGGAUAUAUGUUUUCUUUCUUUUUUGUUAAUCCUCACUGAGGAUUUUUUUUCAUUGAUUUUUUUAGAGAGAGUGGAAGAGAGGAGGAGAGACACACAGAGAGAAACAUCGAUGUGAGAGAAACACAUCAAUUGGUUGCCUCCCACAUGUGCCCUGACCCGGGCCGAGGAUUGAGUCUGCAACUGAGGAGACCCCAGAUCAGGGAAGACUGGACAGAAUCUGAUCCUUGAAGGAUGGCGUGUUAUAUGGGACCAGGUGUAAGCCUUUGCUUUCAGAAGACCAGGCCACAGAAGGCUCUUCCAGUCCUAUUUACCCGCUCUGGGGCCAUGAGUGUUUUCAGAGAGCCUUGGGCAGUAAGUUCCCCGGGAUGUGACUCACAUGGCCUGCUAGGGGCUGCUGCUUCAGCCCUGAUUCUGGAUCAAGAUGACAUGAAACAGACCCAGCUAAGCUGAGAGAGGCAUAAAUAUG